GACGAACGCUGGCGGCGUGCUUAGCACAUGCAAGUCGAGCGGUAAGGCCCUUUCGGGGUACGACGAGCGGCGAACGGGUGGAGUAACACGUGGGUGACCUGCCCUCAGCUCUGGGAUAAGCCUGGGAAACCGGGUCUAAUACCGGAGUAUGACUCCAUGACGCAUGUUGUGGGGUGGAAAGCCUUGUGCGGCUGAGGAUGGGCCCGCGGCCUAUCAGCUUGUUGGGGGGUG
rnacentral:rRNA from 1 species